rnacentral:lncRNA from 1 species
GUUGGGGAAAGGGGCUGGGUUUCAAACAACCCAGAUUUGAAGUUGGGUGUUAAGGGUGGUUAGAGAUCGAGAGAGGGAUGGUUGCGAUGGUGGUAGGGUUCGUAUCCAGGGCGGGAUGUUGCGACGAGUUCGAUGUUCUUUAUCAUUGAAUUUGCAACCAACAAAAAAAAUGAACUAAAAAAUUUAAUUUAAAAAAAAAAAAGAGCAAAAGAGAGAUGAAGAUAGUGUUGGAUGCUGGGUGGAAGAUCAAUGAGAAUAUGGCUAAGAUGGUUGUUGGGUUGUAUAUUGAACUUGGGAUGGUGGUGAAAUUGGAGGAGCUACUUGUAGAUUUAAUGGAGACCAAUCAAGUAUCAAAAGNNNNNUUGUUGGGGUUGGCUGUGGGUAAGGAUUAAUGGUGGAU